CCUACGGGUGGCAGCAGUGAGGAAUAUUGGUCAAUGGGCGCGAGCCUGAACCAGCCAAGUAGCGUGAAGGAUGACUGCCCUACGGGUUGUAAACUUCUUUUAUAAAGGAAUAAAGUGAGGCACGUGUCCCUUUUUGUGUGUACUUUAUGAAUAAGGAUCGGCUAACUCCGUGCCAGCAGCCGCGGUAAUACGGAGGAUCCGAGCGUUAUCCGGAUUUAUUGGGUUUAAAGGGUGCGGAGAUGGGUUGUUAAGUCAGUUGUGAAAGUUUGCGGCUCAACCGUAAAAUUGCAAUUGAUCCUGGCAGUCUUGAGUAGAGUAGAGGUAGGCGGAAUGCGCGGUGUAGCGGUGAAAUGCUUAGAUAGCACGAAGAACUCCGAUUGCGAAGGCAGCUUACGAGACUGACACUGACACUGAUGCUCGAAAGUGUGGGUAUCAAACAGGAUUAGAUACCCCGGUAGUC
rnacentral:rRNA from 1 species